UACGUAGGCAGCAAGCGUUGUUCGGAAUUACUGGGCGUAAAGAGUGUGUAGGCGGUCUGCCAAGUCUGUUGUGAAAGCGCCUGGCUUAACUGGGCGAGGUCGACGGAAACUGGCAAGCUGGAGGCCGGUAGAGGAGGGUGGAAUUCCCGGUGUAGUGGUGAAAUGCGUAGAGAUCGGGAGGAACACCAGUGGCGAAGGCGGCCCUCUGGGCCGGGCCUGACGCUGAGACGCGAGGGCGUGGGGAGCGAACGGG
rnacentral:rRNA from 1 species